UGCAUUCACUACUGUAAGUCGCUCUGCAUAAGAGCAUCUGCUAAAUGACUCAAA
rfam:Salmo salar isolate Sally breed double haploid chromosome ssa07, whole genome shotgun sequence.